UCUCAUUACACAUCGUGCACGCACAUUGAUAAAUAUAUCUAAAUCAGCAACAAUUAUUGUUAAAAAGUGAAUUUGUGACUCCGAGAAGUUUAACCGGUUCGGCCAGUGAGAGCGAUCCUGCCGGAUUUUUCUGGAUUGCAUAAUUCAAUUGGACCCGGAUACAUACAUUUACCUUGAUAAUACGGAUUUGUUCGGCCGAGAUGGGACGGGAUAAGCAGAGCAAGCAGGACAAGAAAAACCGAGAAAAACCGAAAAAUC